rnacentral:lncRNA from 1 species
GUGGAGGAGAGCGGGUGGCAGGGGGGUGCAGAGGGCCCCAGGCACCAGCCCCAGUAACCACAACACUGGGAGGCAAAGGUCUCUGUCGGUGUCAGGGUGUGAGUGCAGACCAGCCCUCCCGGCAGCAUCCCCAGUGACGCAGCCACAGGCUCGCUGGCAGGAUGGCAUGGCACUCGCUGCUGCUGCUCCCCUUCCUCCUGGUGACAGGUGACGACUUUGCUCCGCA